AAGUCGUAACAAGGUUUCCGUAGGUGAACCUGCGGAGGGAUCAUUACCGAGUGAGGGCCUCCGGGCUCGACCUCCAACCCCAUGUCGUUACAAACCACGUUGCCUCGGGGGCGACCCGGCCUCCGCGUCGGGGCCUCCGGUGGACCCAACCAUCAAACUCUGCGUCUUUGCGUCGGAGUAUUAGAUUAAAUCAAUCAAAA
rnacentral:misc_RNA from 1 species